AUGCUUUGGUUGCCCAGAGGGACAGCAGAGACGGGGAACCCUCGGUGUUUUCCCAUCCCAAGUCAGCUACAGCCCAGGAAAAUCCCCAUUUUUUGCUGCUUUAAGAACGCCAACCGAGUCUGGAGAAGCCAAAACCGAAUAGUUCCAGCAGAACCCGACGAAGAAAACCGUCUUCCCUGAAGGUUUGCCCUUUCUGUUGGUGGGUGAAAUGCUCUGACUGGUCCUGCCUCUCCGUGACUCUCGGCGAGAUGCCGCUGGCUUCACCUCUCCACCCCAGCACUAACGAACCCACGGGUUAAUAUUUAUUAGGGGCCAGGGAGCGUGCCAACACACGUGGCCCCAGUGAUUUUGGGGGCACCGCAGAUCCUUCUGCCCCCUCAUUUCUACCCGUUACCGCCCAGUGAUCACAGGGGACCUGGCCCAGGUUGGGACGGACCCGAGUCAGCCCCAGCAGCUUGCUCUGAGCCUUCGGGAGAUUUUUUUUUUGCCAGACUCUGCUAAAAUUGAGCAAUCCCUCGGCGCUCGCCGCCUGCCCCGGUCCCGGCGCUGGAGCGGCUCUCAGGCGCCUUUCUGCACAGCGCUGCCCCCGCCGCGCUUUAGCUGCUCAUUCAAGCGGCGUUUCCUCUUUCCUCAUCUCUUUUUAAGGGUAUUUCACCCAAUUUUGGCUCACAUGCGCUCUUCACGCAGCUGUAAGCGGCUUCACCACCCCUUCACGUGCUGGGUGGGCAGCGGGACUCGGACGCUGCAGGCGUCAUCACCAAAGCAAACCCGAGAUAAGAGGACUAGGGCACUGUUUUUGCCUUUCUUCUCCAUUUUUACCGUUCCCAUUUAGGCUCGCAGGCUGAGAAGGGAAAGCUUCUGCUUUAGCAGAGCCAUCGGUGCUCAGAAAGCAAGGUGCCAGCACCGGGAGCUGGAGAUUUUUGAUGGUGCAGCCCAAAAGUGGGGGCUCAGCCUCACGCCUUGGGUUUUGGUGGCCUCACGAGCGGGGGUUUGGCUGCAGCAGCGCUGCUGGGGACGGGGCAGAGCUCAGCGCUGUGGCCAGCGACGGAGAGACAUGGGAUAAGGGUCAGUGCCCGGGCUGCAUGCUCCCAUCUUGGGUGCUCAGAUCUCGAAUGCUGGGAAGCUCAGAGACUUGGAUCUUGGGUGCUCAGAUCUCAGGUGCUGGGAAGCUCGGAUGCUUGGAUUUCAGAUGCUCAGAUCUCGGCUGUUUGGAUUCUUGGAAGCUCAGAUGCUCGGAUGCUGGGAAGCUCAGAUCUCGGAUCUCAGAUGCUCGGAUCUCAGCUCUCGGAUGCUCAGAUGCAGGGCAGAAGUUGGCCACCUCUGGGAAGGGGCAUCAAAAACCUCAUUUGCUUGCAAACGCAAAAUCACCCGUGGUUUUCCUCCGCACAGGCAGCCCGGCUGGCUCACCCCGUCCCAGGCAGCCGGGAUGGGCAGGAUGCGGCCCCCACAGCCCCCACCCGCCUGGCAGCAGGGUGGCACCGAGGGGAGCUGGGUGCUGGGGUGCUGCCGGCAGCGCCCAUGGGCAGGUGAGCCUAUAGGGAGGUGGGGGAGCCUAUAGGAAGGUAAGUGAGCAUAUAGGAAGGUAGGUGAACAUAUAGAAAGGCAGAUAAUUAUACAGGGAGGCGGGUGAGUGUGUAGGGAGGUGGAUGAGUGUAUAGAGAGGUGGGUGCAUCUAUAGGGAGCCAGAGGAACAUAUAGGAAGGCAGGUGAGUAUGUAGGGAGUCAGCUGGACAUAUAGGAGGCUGGAGGCGCAUGUAGGAAGGCAGGUGAGCAUAUGAGGUGGCGGAUGACUGUAUAGGAAGGUGGGUGAAUAUAUAGGGAGGCCGAUCAGCGUAGCAAAAGGCAGGUGAAUAUAGGAAGGCAGAAGAGUGUAGGAAGGCAGGUGAGCGUAUAGCAUGGCAGAUGGACGUAUAGGAAGGCAGGUGAGCAUAUAGGAAGGCAGGUGAGCAUAUAGCAAGGCAGAUGGACGUAUAGGAAGGCAGGUGAGCGACACCAGCGUGUGCCAGAGGUGGUUGUCUCAGCGCUGCAAAUCGUGCUGUGCGUGUGCAUUAUUGGGGAGCACUCAGCACACGGACACCUCCAGGCCCAGCAGUGCUGGGAUUUGCCCCCAGCGAGCAGACGCCGAGCCUGGCACGGCCGCGUGGUGAGCAGGAGGCACCGCAGCGCUCCGCGGGGCAGCUCCGGUGACGCCCAAACAAGAGGAUGAGCAAAAAUCCCCAAUUUCCCCCGGCUCUGAGCUCCCCAGACCUCGUCUCGCUGCUGGGGCCGUGCCGAAAUGACUCAGGCCGCCGCUCGCCGCAGCACGCCGCCAACAAUCAACACGUGAAAAUAGAAACGUCCCUGGCUCCCGUGCCAGGAAUAACGUUUGAAGGCUUUUUCUUUUUUAUUUUUUUUUCCCCUUUAAAGUGAAAUCCCUUUCUGUCCUGUCUGACUCAGCCCCAGCACAACCGCUGUGCAGAAGCAAAGUAAAACCCAGACUAGGGGCAGGGGGACGCGAUGCUGCAUCCCCGUGGGAUGCAGUUUGGCAUUUUUUUGGGGGGGAAAAAAAUCUCUGGAGCAAGGCACGGGGAUGCCUCGGGCUUCGGAGGACCCUGAGCAGGGGGUUGCAGCUGUAUGGGGACGUCCCGGCAAUGCACACAGGAGUUAUCUCGGCCGCUCCACAUAACCGCUGCUCUCUGUGCGCGCUGCUCCCGGCCUCCUGGGGCUGCUGCCGGUCCUUCGGGGGGAGAUAAGCCGGGUCCUGCCUCUAUCGGGGCAGCUCAGGCCUGGGGUCGAGCAAAACCCGGCGCUGCUUCCCCUGUGGAGCCCUGCCAAAGGGCCGGGGGAGGGAGCAGGGUGCAGGGCAUGCAUUGGGCAAAGGGAUUAAAACGGCAAUGAGGGAGCGUUCACGCAGCUCCCCUUGCUGCUGGGAAAAAAAGACACGCUCUGGGUGUUUUCCUUGAUGUUUAUAGGGAGGAAAAGGUGCACGGAGAGCAGAAAAUAAAUUAAUGCGUCCCCUUCGCCCGCCGGCCGGC
ensembl:lncRNA